CCUACGGGUGGCAGCAGUGAGGAAUAUUGGUCAAUGGCCGAGAGGCUGAACCAGCCAAGUAGCGUGAGGGAAGACGGCCCUACGGGUUGUAAACCUCUUUUGUCGGGGAGCAAAGCGAGUCACGUGUGACUCAUUGAGAGUACACGACGAAAAAGCAGCGGCUAACUCCGUGCCAGCCACCGCGGUAAUACGGAGGAGGCGAGCGUUAUCCGGAUAUAUUGGGUUUAAGGGGUGCGCAGGCGGAGGUGCAAGUCAGCGGUCAGAUUGCGGGGCUCAACCCGGUACUGCCGUUGAAACUGCAUCCCUUGAGUGCGCGCGAAGUAUGCGGAAUGCGUGGUGUAGCGGUGAAAUGCAUAGAUAUCACGCAGAACUCCGAUUGCGAAGGCAGCAUACCGGCGCGCAACUGACGCUCAUGCACGAGAGCGUGGGUAUCGAACAGGAUUAGAUACCCUAGUAGUC
rnacentral:rRNA from 1 species